UGGUGGAGUGAUUUGUCUGGUUAAUUCCGUUAACGAACGAGACCUCAGCCUGCUAAAUAGCUGGGCGAACACUUGUGUUCGUAUUCCAUGCUUCUUAGAGGGACAUUUGGUGUUUAGCCAAAGGAAGUUUGAGGCAAUAACA
rnacentral:rRNA from 1 species